rnacentral:tRNA from 1 species
GUAGAAAUAGUGUUAAUGGUAGCACUUCGAAUUGUGGCUUCGAUAGUAUGAGUUCGAAUCUCAUUUUCUACC